rnacentral:RNase_P_RNA from 2 species
UCAGUCGGCCGGACGGCCGCCCCGGCCGGCGCCGAAAGGUGGCCGGGGAGGAAAGUCCGGGCUCCAUGGACAAGCGGUGCCGGAUAAGGUCCGGCGGGGGCGACCCCAGGGACAGUGCCACAGAGAACAGACCGCCGGCGGCGCCUCGCGCGUCGUCCGGCAAGGGUGAAACGGUGCGGUAAGAGCGCACCGCGCGUCCGGCAACGGAGGCGGCACGGCAAACCCCACCGGGAGCAAAACCGAAUAGGGACGGCGUGGAGGCGCGAGCCUCCGGAUCGUGUCCGGGUCCAGCCGUCCGGGUAGGUCGCUCGAGGCGCCGGGCAACCGGCGUCCCAGAGGAAUGGCCGUCGCGCGGCGGGCUCGCCCGUCGCCCUACAGAACCCGGCUUACAGGCCGGCUGAUCGU